rnacentral:rRNA from 1 species
AUACGAGGGGUGCAAGCGUUAAUCGGAAUUACUGGGCGUAAAGCGUUCGUAGGCGGUUUGUUAAGCAAGAUGUGAAAGCCCUGGGCUCAACCUGGGAACUGCAUUUUGAACUGGCAAGCUAGAAUACUGUAGAGGGUGGUGGAAUUUCCAGUGUAGCGGUGAAAUGCGUAGAGAUUGGAAGGAACAUCAGUGGCGAAGGCGGCCACCUGGACAGAUAUUGACGCUGAGGAACGAAAGCGUGGGUAGCAAACAGGAUUAGAAACCCUUGUAGUCC